GAUGAACGCUCGCGGCAGGCCUAACACAUGCAAGUCGAGGGAGGAGCUUUCGGGCUUCGACCGGCGUACGGGUGCGUAACGCGUAUACAAUCUGCCUUUCACAUAGGGAUAGCCCGAAGAAAUUUGGAUUAAUACCUAAUGGUAUAUAGAGGUGGCAUCACCUUUAUAUUAAAGCUGAGGCGGUGAAAGAUGAGUAUGCGUUCUAUUAGCUAGUUGGAGAGGUAACGGCUCCCCAAGGCGACGAUAGAUAGGGGUUCUGAGAGGGAUAUCCCCCACACUGGUACUGAGAUACGGACCAGACUCCUACGGGAGGCAGCAGUGAGGAAUAUUGGACAAUGGUCGGAAGACUGAUCCAGCCAUGCCGCGUGCAGGAAGACGGCCUUAUGGGUUGUAAACUGCUUUUGCAGGGGAAGAAUAAGGACUACGCGUAGUUUGAUGACGGUACUCUGCGAAUAAGCAUCGGCUAACUCCGUG
rnacentral:rRNA from 1 species